GUCAGUUGCCCUGCAGUGCGUACGUGAUCGCAGCGAAGGAGUUCUCAGCUAAAAUGAAAGUCUUCGAUUGGUUCGUCGCCUUUCUUCUUGUCAACGCACUCCAAGGUGCAGUACAGUUCCCUAUCAUUGACGAUACUGCUCCAUAUUUUGAUGACUUCCCAGGUGGCGAGUCCACAGAUGCAGUUCCGUUAGAUGUAUCCACUUCAGAUGAAACCACCUCAAGAAACACACUGGAACCGAAGUUCAGUGAACCUGUCGAUGGGCCAG